rnacentral:tRNA from 1 species
AGUUAUAGCAGGAAAAUAUUGAUAAAUCUCAUUUAAUAGAUCGAGUGCUUUGGGAGCACUAGGUCGCAGGUUCGAAUCCUGUCGCCC